rnacentral:rRNA from 1 species
UAGGGAAUCUUCGGCAAUGGGGGGAACCCUGACCGAGCAACGCCGCGUGAGUGAAGAAGGUUUUCGGAUCGUAAAGCUCUGUUGUUAAGGAAGAACGAGUGUGAGAAUGGAAAGUUCAUGCUGUGACGGUACUUAACCAGAAAGGGACGGCUAACUACGUGCCAGCAGCCGCGGUAAUACGUAGGUCCCGAGCGUUGUCCGGAUUUAUUGGGCGUAAAGCGAGCGCAGGCGGUUAGAAAAGUCUGAAGUGAAAGGCAGUGGCUCAACCAUUGUAGGCUUUGGAAACUGUUUAACUUGAGUGCAGAAGGGGAAAGUGGAAUUCCAUGUGUAGCGAUGAAAUGCGUAGAUAUAUGGAGGAACACCGGUGGCGAAAGCGGCUCUCUGGUCUGUAACUGACGCUGAGGCUCGAAAGCGUGGGGAGCGAACAGG